GCCGAGAUGGUGGAAUGGCAGACACGGAUGCCUCAAAAGCAUCUGCCUCGAAAGGGCAUGCGGGUUCGAAUCCCGCUCUCGGCACCA
rnacentral:tRNA from 1 species